GGGGUCGUAACGGUUGAUAAUGCGAAGUGAAGUUGGUCAAGUAAGGUUUAUUCGAUUCUCGAGAUAAAACAGUAGCCAAGGCGAGCCCCUGAUGGAAGCUUGGACUUUUUGGCAGGCCACCAGUCGAAAAAGGAAUAUAUCCAUCCACGUGAACCAUCUUAUUGUCCAACAGUGUCUAACGUUCUCUGAUAUCGGUCACCGGAACUUGUCUCCUUUUCCCCGGCUCGGUUCACGGUGGCACACGAUGUCGAAGAUGGACACUGGAUCGUUUUCAGAGGAUAAAUGAUAAAUGAAGUUUCUCAGAGAAAUGACACGACACCAAAUAACUUUAAUAAACGAAUCGGUG
rnacentral:misc_RNA from 1 species